AGGUGAUUUCGGCAUGUCCGGCAGGUGGUUCCAGUGAGUCGAGCAGCUGGUUCUGGCGUGCUCGACAGGUGUUUCAGGCAUGUCCAACAGGUGGUUCCGGUCUGUAUGGGAGGUGGUUCUGGCAUUUUCGGCACGUGUUUCUGGCUCAUCUUAGAGGUGGUUCCAGCCUGCCUGGCAGGUGAUUCCGGAGUGUCGGCCAACUGGUUCUGGCGUAGCUGGCAGGUGAUUUUGAUUUGUCCUGCAGGUGGUUCCGGCAUGCCCGUCAGGUGAUUCCAGAGUCUCCGGCAUGUGGUUCUGGCACCUUGGAUAGGUGGUUCCGGCAUGCCCGGCAGGUGAUUCCGGAGUCUCCGGCAUGUGGCUCUGGCACCUCUGAGAGGUGGUUCCGGAAUGCCUGGCAUGUGAUUCCGGAGUGUCUGCCGUGUGGUUCUGGCAUAGCCGGCAGUUGAUUGUGGCGUGUCCAGUAGGUGGUUCCGGGGAGUGGAUCAGCUGGUUCCGGCAUACUCGGCAGGUGGUACCGGCGUGUCCAGAACAUGGUUCUGGCAAGUCUGAGAGGUGGUUCCGGCACGCCCGACAGGUGAUUCCGGAGCGUCCGCCAAGUGUUUCUGGCGUACCCGGCAGGUGAUUUUGGCAUGUCCGACAGGUGUUUCUUGCAAGUCGAGCAGGUGGCUCAGGCAUGCUCAGCUGGUGCUUCCGGCCUCUCAGACACACCAGAACCACGUGCCGGACAGGCCGGAAGCACCUGCUGAUCAUGCCUGAGCCACAUGCUCGACUUGCAAGAAACACCUGCCAGACACGCCAAAAUCACCUGUCGGGUACGCCAGAACCACGUGGCGCAUACUCCGGAAUCACCUGUCGGGCAUGCCGGAACCAAAUCUCAUACGUGCCAGAACCUCGUGGCGGACACGCCAGAACCACCUGCCGGAAAGACCGGAAACACCUGGUGGACACGCCAGAACCACUCGGCAGACACUCCGGAACCACAUGCCAGGCAUCACGGAAACACCUCUCAGAGGUGCCAGAACCAAAUGCCGGACACUCCGGAAUCACCUGCCGGGCAUGCCGGAACCACCUCUCAGAGGUGCCAGAACCACAUGCCGGACACUCCGGAAUCACCUGCCGGGCAUGCCGGAACCACCUGCCGGACAGACCGGAAACACCUGCUGGACACGCCGGAACCACCGGCUCGACUGGCCGGAACCACCGCCGGACAUGCAAAAUGACCUGCCGGCUACGCCAGAUCCACUCGGCAGACACUCCAGAAUCACCUGCCGGGCUGGCUGGAACCACCUGCCGGUCACGCCAACAUCACAUUUCAGCUACGCCAGAACCACUUGGCGGACACUCCGGAAACACCUGUCGGGCCGGUCGGAACCACCUCUCAGACUUGCCAGAACCAUGUGCUGGACACGCCGGUACCACCUGCCGAGUAUGCCAGAACCAGCUGAUCCACUCCCCAGAACCACCUAGUGGACACGCCAAAAUGAACUGCCGGCUACGCCAGAACCACUCGGCAGACACUCCGGAAUCACAUGCCAGGCAUUCCGGAACCACCUCUCAGAGGUGCCAGAACCAAAUGCCGGACACUCCGGUAUCACCCGCCGGGCAUGCCGGAACCACCUCUCAGAGGUGCCAGAACCACAUGCCGGACACUCCGGAAUCACCUGCCGGGCAUGCCGGAACCACCUGCCGGACAUGCCGGAACCACCGGCUCGACUCGCCGGAACCAUUGCCGGACAUGCAAAAUCACCUGCCGGCUACGCCAGAACCACUUGGCGAACACUCC
ensembl:lncRNA